rnacentral:rRNA from 1 species
CCUACGGGGUGCAGCAGUGGGGAAUAUUGGACAAUGGGCGAAAGCCUGAUCCAGCCAUGCCGCGUGUGUGAAGAAGGCCUUCGGGUUGUAAAGCACUUUCAGUGGGGAAGAAAGCCUUGGGGCUAAUACCCUCGAGGAAGGACAUCACCCACAGAAGAAGCACCGGCUAACUCCGUGCCAGCAGCCGCGGUAAUACGGAGGGUGCGAGCGUUAAUCGGAAUUACUGGGCGUAAAGCGCGCGUAGGCGGUCUGAUAAGCCGGUUGUGAAAGCCCCGGGCUCAACCUGGGAACGGCAUCCGGAACUGUCAGGCUAGAGUGCAGGAGAGGAAGGUAGAAUUCCCGGUGUAGCGGUGAAAGGCGUAGAGAUCGGGAGGAAUACCAGUGGCGAAGGCGACCUUCUGGACUGACACUGACGCUGAGGUGCGAAAGCGUGGGUAGCAAACAGGAUUAGAUACCCUGGUAGUC